UUCAAAAAAGCAAAUAUUAUGCAUAAAAUUUAAGAUUUUAUAUAGUGGAAACACUUUUGAAA
rnacentral:tRNA from 1 species